GUACUGAUGAAGAGUCUCAAAGGGCUAUGACGAAACAGCUGUCCAGUAC
rnacentral:hammerhead_ribozyme from 1 species